ensembl:lncRNA
UUCCCUCCAGCGCUUCCCCGCGCCUCGGAUUCCCCUUUCUCAGAGUCCUGGGCUGCACCCAGGACUGUCUGGAUUCAUUACCGCUGUGGUGUUUGGUGACACAGGAGCCCAGCGGGUAUAAAAUCCCAAAUAGGCUUUAUGGCUGAGCUGAGGUACUGGUUCACUGGAUGCAUUCCAAAAGUCUCUUUCUUCCUCCAAGUUGAACUGCCACCAGUGGCCAGCCACUGCCCCACCUCUGCAUCUCACCACUAAUACCACAGUUCCGUGCCCUGCGCAAGUAAACCAGGAUGCUUCGUCUACAAAUUGUCCCAAUCAGCUGGUGAACCUCCUCCAACACCAGAGAUGCCAGCCCUCUCCCCACCUCCUCAUCACAAAAACCCGUCUGCUGGUCCCUUGACAACAACUACAUUCCACACCUCACAGUUCGCCUUUAAUCUUUGCCAUCACUCCUUUCUGUUCCCAACCAUCCACACCUUCUAAAGUGGCAAACAGCACAGAGAGGAAAUGAGCACUUGAAAACUUUAGGUCAUUAUUGUAAUAGUGGCAAGUAUUGUUAUUGCAUAAAUACAUUCGAUUAUACCCGGGAGCAUACUCUCCUCUGUUUAUGUGCAGUCCUUACAUUGGCCAAUUUAUUUUGCAUCUGUUUCACCUUUGCAAACAGCCAUAAUUGUACCAGCACCAAUUCCUCUCCUUUUUAUUUUAAAAACACACACACUUCUGUUAAUCUAACAAAGUUAACGCUGAAAAGUUAAUUUGCACAGAAAGAAUAAAAAUAGGAAUAUUAGAUUUGCCCAGCAAUGUUAGCACUGCAGCUACAAAAUGUGUUGCAAUUGUUAAGCAAUUAUUUUUAAUUCUGGUGUAAUAUGUGUGUGUAUAAUAUGGUUAGAAAAUACCUUGCCCACUUCUUCCCAUGCUGGCAAAACAUGAGCAUGACUUAAUAUGCAAGUACAAUCUCUUACAUUUUGAGUGUUUCAACCAUUAUGAAUGUCUACUUCUAUUUUCAAUGCCAGGAUAUUGUGAAGAUGGGUUUGGUAUGCUUGCAUGGGAUGGUCACAUAUAACAUCACUUUAAUACUAAAUAUACUUUGGCUACAGUACGAUUAAAAAAAGGGAAAAACAAAAACAAAAACAAAAAAAACAGUUCUUGCGAACUGGGAAAUAUGGUAUUUACUAAUUCCCAGAGAAGUAUUUUUCAUUGGGUUAUAAACUGCUGUCCAGGAAGAAGACUUUGGGCUUUGUAGCAGCAGCUAGAUUAAAUUUGUUAAACCAAGCUGAUGCCUCACAGACCCUGAGUGCCCUCUAGGGUAGUCUCGUUCCAUGGUAGACUGUGCUUUCACCUUUUCUUCUCUGAGCUCUCUUUUGGGUUUCUCUCCAAGGGCGUUGCCUAAAUACCCCUAUGUAAUUUUGCGGCUUACGCCUCUUCAGGCAGAGCACAAGACCAGGAGUCAGGAGAUCUCAUGUGCUGUAGAGUUCUGGAAUAGCUGUCUCUCCCCACCUGUGCCUCUAGUGUUUGUCUGUCUGUUGUAACAGCAACACUUUGAGACCUGUAGUUAGUAAAUGUUACUUGUGAGCAGUCAAAAGUUGUCAGCAAAAUGGAGAUAAUUAUUCAGCAACUCACAAGAUGGAACACAUUCAACACAAGCUGCUUUUCAGAAACGGAAGAAGCUUAGCUUAUCACAUAACACGCUGGCUGUGCCCUAUUCCUCUCCAAUCCUUUAUCCCAGAAGCAUGAAAGAAGGUGGAAGAAGAAGAGAGUAGUGCCUUCUGUUCAACCCCUCGUGGAAAAGCUUGGGUGCUUGCAGCCAGUAGUGACCUAGAGCCACUGCCCACCACAGUGAGGGUGUAAUGAACUCUCCUGUGCCUUUCUACCUACUUCUCCAGAAAGGAGAGGCCUCCUAUCUGUGACUUUACAGGACACCAUGCUGUCACUGCAUGCACUGCCCUGGAGAAGCUCUUGGAUGAACUCCCUGCGUAAGGGCUUGGCCACCAUCAUAUUUAGUAUCCAGCCUUCAUAAUUCUGAGAAAAUUCACCAAAUAAAGGGUUUAAACUAGAGAUGAGCCAGAAUCAGAAACCUGGAUCUUCACCAACACUCUGACCUUGGGCAUGUUUCAAUUGUUUUCCAAGCCUUUCAGUGGGGCCACUUCUGUAUGCCGGACCAAACCCAAACUCCGGAUCUAGAUAGCUGAAACUUUGCAAAGUGAUUUGGUUUCAGAUCUAAAAAACACAGUUUUAGUUUGUAAAGAAUUGAAACCAAGUUUGUAAUUACAAAAUGACGACUUUGGAUGACUGCAUUUUGAGAUGUUGGAAAUGAGAUAAAAUUAAAGAUUGUGAUCUUU